GUAGGGAAUCUUCCGCAAUGGACGAAAGUCUGACGGAGCAACGCCGCGUGAGUGAAGAAGGUUUUCGGAUCGUAAAACUCUGUUGUUAAAGAAGAACAAGGAUGAGAGUAACUGCUCAUCCCCUGACGGUAUUUAACCAGAAAGCCACGGCUAACUACGUGCCAGCAGCCGCGGUAAUACGUAGGUGGCAAGCGUUGUCCGGAUUUAUUGGGCGUAAAGCGAGCGCAGGCGGUUCUUUAAGUCUGAUGUGAAAGCCCCCGGCUCAACCGGGGAGGGUCAUUGGAAACUGGAGAACUUGAGUGCAGAAGAGGAGAGUGGAAUUCCACGUGUAGCGGUGAAAUGCGUAGAUAUGUGGAGGAACACCAGUGGCGAAGGCGACUCUCUGGUCUGUAACUGACGCUGAGGCUCGAAAGCGUGGGGAGCAAACAGG
rnacentral:rRNA from 1 species